rnacentral:lncRNA from 1 species
GUCAUUUGAACUGUAACUAGUAAAGAAUCAGGGGUCAACACGGCAAUAGACAGAACAUCGUGGGACGUGGACACAGUCCAACACACAUCAUCAGAACCAGCUGGAGCAGGAGUGUGGGUGGAGCCGUGCAGUGUGACUAGAUGAUGAAGCUCACCUGUGGAAAACAAGGAAGCAGCUGCAUCUGAUGCUGGGACCUCCACUCAUGCAUGCUGGAUGUUUCCUCUGUGCUGUCAGCCUUUGAUUCUGACACUGAACGAGCUGGAGAGUCAUUCACAUAAGGUUACAUAUUA